rnacentral:tRNA from 1 species
AGGGUUGUGGCUCAGUGGUAGAGCACUUGCCUAGCAUGUGCAAGGCUCUGGGUUCGAUCCUCAGCACCACAU